rnacentral:rRNA from 1 species
UACGAAGGGGGCUAGCGUUGCUCGGAAUCACUGGGCGUAAAGCGCACGUAGGCGGAUCUUUAAGUCAGGGGUGAAAUCCUGGAGCUCAACUCCAGAACUGCCUUUGAUACUGGGGAUCUCGAGUCCGGAAGAGGUGAGUGGAACUCCGAGUGUAGAGGUGAAAUUCGUAGAUAUUCGGAAGAACACCGGUGGCGAAGGCGGCCUGCUGGGCAGUCGCUGACACUGAGGCGCGACAGCGUGGGGAGCAAACAGG